rnacentral:tmRNA from 2 species
GGGGGUGUACUGGUUUCGACGGGGCUGUUGACACAUGGAUUGCGAGUAGAGGAUUCUCGUUGGCCUCUAUAAAAACGAGAAAUUAAAAUUAAACGCAAGAAAUAACACUUCUUUGCAGGCUGCUUAAUUGCAGUCACGUUGACCCGGAGGUCACCCGUGCCUCCGGUAAUCAGCGUCAUUAAGUCGGGCCCGCCUGCGCGGCGGUCAGCGCAGGGUACGGAAUCGAUUAAGCUUUGCGGCGAUUCGGCACUUAUGAAGCUACCGGUUAUAUUUUUUCGGCCGUCUGAAAUUAUAACCGGGAAUCUAAUCGGCGGCAUACACUCGUAGACAUCUAUGGAGAUAUGGUUUCGGACAGGGGUUCGACUCCCCUCAUCUCCACCA